rnacentral:rRNA from 1 species
GAUCCUGGCUCAGGAUGAACGCUGGCGGCGUGCUUAACACAUGCAAGUCGAACGAAGCACUUAAGAAUGAUUCUUCGGAUGAAUUUUUAUGUGACUUAGUGGCGGACGGGUGAGUAACGCGUGGGUAACCUGCCUCACACAGGGGGAUAACAGUUGGAAACGACCGCUAAUACCGCAUAACCCGCUAGGGCCGCAUGGCCCGGACGGAAAAGAUUUAUCGGUGUGAGAUGGACCCGCGUUGGAUUAGCUAGUUGG